rnacentral:lncRNA from 1 species
UUAUUUUGAAAUUAUAAUCCCAAAUGCAAAACAAAAGCAUAAAAAUUACACGCCGAAACGGUGAGUCGGCCAGCGAUCGACGAUUAGGGACGGAAAACCCGACGCCGGUCGUCCGAGGGAGGUUCAUCGAUUUGUGCCGCCUCUAAUGGCUGUCCGGAGAAUACAGCAGCCGCGGAACUCGGCGGCGUGAAGAUGAGAUCAUUCUCUUCGGGCGAGUUCAGACGGUCGGGAUUGUUCGGCCGGAGAAAACUUGGUGAUGAUAGUUGGGACAAGGAGGAGCACGGACGCGCUAUGAUUACAAUCUCCGGAGAAGCCAUUGAAGAGUGAUUACUGUGAGUCGUGUCGAUUCAUGUGUUUUCUAUUAUUGUUUGCCUUUUCUUUUUCGUCCGGAAUCUGUGAUACUCAUGUUUUAUUGCGCCUAAAUUUGAGAUUGCGGCCGAAAAUUUCGACCUAAAGUGAUAUGAAAUGUGGCCUUGAAUUGAUGCUAUUAUAAAAAAGUUCACAUAAUGAUAACAAUUGAUGCAAGUUUUGGAUCAAUCCAUUAUAAGUCUGGAGUAAAGAAAGUUUCACAGUAAGCAUAAGAAAAAUCGGGUCUCAUUGGUGUCCAAGGUGUUGAUUAAAUGGUUGAAUUGCUGCUUCACGUAAAUUGAAUGAUGUAAAUUCCACGAUCUACAAAACUAAUGAAGAAAUGAUACCAUUAAAGCUGUUGCAAUACCGCAUAAGCCAUGUGACCUUAGCAGUGGUAAAGACAAGAGAGCGAUACUUAGCCAGUUAGCCCCUGCACUAGACCAUGCUACUGUAGGUUGCUUCUUAGAUGACCAUGACAUACUCAAGAAAAAUACAAUAAUGCAGUAGUAUUAUGUCAGUAUUAUGUCUUGUAUGAGUGCGUUCCUAUCCGAUCAACAUCGUAAAACCCUGUCAAAUUAAAUGAAUUUUGUGCAAGGAAUCUUAUACUUUGAUCCAUUGUCCCCUUGAGAUAUCAAAUGAUCCUCUUGAGUGCAUGAAAAUCGGCUUCUAUAGGUGCCUGAAAAUACUAACACACUCUGUUUUCCUCAUGGAGAAUAUCUGAUCUUGUAAAAGUUAAAUACUGAAGUGCACCACUUAAAUUCUGAAGUGCAAAAACUAAUUUUUGGUACUGAGUAGGAUCAACAAGCUUGCUGUUAUUUUGAAAUGUUUUGAGGUUUAAUAGCCAUGGGUGUGGCGAGAUGCAAACAUCUAGGAUUUGAGCAUGACAAAGUAAAUCUUUUCAAUAUUUUGUUUGGAACAAAAAAAUACCAUCAGAAGAAUUCUAAGUUUCAAACGAAGGAAGUAAUGAACUUUCCCCAAAUCCUUUAUUGUACAUUCAUUGUUUAAUAAGUCAAUAAGACUUUUUGGAUGACUUGAGUGUAGUUGUAUGUAACUAUCACAUCAUCCACAUAAACAAGCAUUUGCAGAAUUCCACCAUUUUUAUGAAGCACAAAUAAUGAGGAAUCAACCUUGCUACACACAAACCCAACAUGUAAUAAGAAUUGGGAUAAUCUAUCAAACCAACUCCAGAUGCUUGCUUCAAGCCAUAGAGAAAUCAAUUUAAGAGAUAAACAUGAUCAAGGACCUUUUGAUUUGAGAAGUCCGAUGGUUGCUACAUAUAUACAUUUUCCCCAGGAUGAAAAUAUCAGUUUUGUGGAAUAUAUCGAUAACUUGAUUUUACAGAUAUAUCAGAAAAUAUCGUUGGAUAUUUGGACACAAAAUAUUGGUAGAACAAAAAUUAAUAAAAAAACUUAUAGUAGUAUUUGAAAAAACUCAAAAAAUGAUAGAAAAAUAAUAAUUCAUAUAUUGAAUUGUUUUAACAAGAAAAUUGAUAUAUAUAUUGAAGGAUAUAAAAGAAACGAUGAUAUAUAAGUAUUUUUUAUUUAAAAAUAUUGGCAAUUUAAUUUAUAAAUUUGCAUCUAUUCUGUAUUAAAUUAUUAUAUAAAAUACAUAAUAGAAUAAUUAAAAUUAUUCUGAUCAAAAAAAUAAUUAAAAUUAGUUUAUUUGUAAUAAUUUUAUUUUAAUUAAUUUAUAAUCUAUAAUACAUAAAAGAUUAGUAUAUGCAUAGAUUUUUCUUUUCUCUGAAUUCGUAUCAACAAAGCACAAUUGGUCUAGUGGUAGAGAUGGUUCCUUUCAAUCUCAAGGUUAUUGGUUCAAACCCUAUACUUCAAUAUUUAUGUGGUUUUCUAUUUAGCCUUUAAAAAGUAAUCUCACAUCGGAAUUGGGAGAAAAGAUAAUGUUGUAUUUAAUAGCCUUCACAGUUGAUACUAAGUAUAGGUAUGGUGGAGAGAAAUUAGGCCCAUGGAUGGUGGUUUCAUGGGUUGAUUUUGAGCUCCGGCCUAGUACCCAAACAAGAAUUUUGUGUUAAAGAAAAUCGGUGUUGACUUGUUGUUUGUGGUUGAAAUAAUUGCCGAUAUAUCUGGUAUAUCGGUGUAAUAUUGGAAUUUCAUUGAUAAAUCGGUUAUAACUUAUAAAAGAAGAAAAAUAACAAAAAAUCUCUCAACUGAGAUUUCCAUGGUCGAUAUCAUGUUGAAGGGUGAUAUUUCAAUGAUUUUUCCGUGAUAUUUUUUGACAUUUUAAACCAUGAUUUUCCCUAAGCAAAACAUGAGGAAAGGUCUUUUUACAUCUAGUUGUCUCAUGGUCUAGUGAGAUGCCACUACAAUUGUCAAGAUCAAUCUUAUUGUUGUGGGUUUUUACAUUUUGUCAUGUAAAAAUUUUAAGGACUUGUCGAGUGAGGAUGUCUCAUGCAUUAGUGUUAAAUGUUGAGUGGUGCUUUGCUAGUUUGUACGCCUACCAAAGUUUGGUGCGCCCCCUCCUCAAGACAUUAAGGCCUUCUCUUUUAUGCUCUCUUGCUAGAAUUUGUUGGCACUAAUCCUUGACAAUAAUGUUAUGUGAUUUGGUGAGAAUUCAAUCAAACAUGAGUUAUCUGAGUUAAGUUGCUCGACUAAUAAUAAGUUUUUCUUUAUGUUAGGAACAACUAAAACAUUCUUCAGUUCUAAAUUGCCAUAAUCACUUUUUAGUUUUGUUUCUCCAACACAUGAAAUCUUUAAGCAUUCUCCAUUCCUAAUAUAAAUAGCAUCAUUACCUUUAUAUGGCAUUACUUUGGACAUCUUACUUGGAUCAUUGGUCAUGUGCAUAGUGGCUCCUAAAUUGGAAUAGAAAGUGGUAUCAUUCUCUCCUCCAUUUAGAUUCUUUGUGGCCAAUGCUUGAAGAACAUCUUCGAAUUGAUAUAAGUAUUCAAACCUAUUCCAAGAAUCCUUACUAGAAUGAUUAGCUUUAUUGCAAAUUUGACAAAUAAUAGUACCUCCUAAUUUUGAACAUCGUAAUUUUUGCUGCUGCCAUUACUAUCCACUUUGAUAAUAUUUCCAUUUUUCAUUUCCUCUACUAUUAUUUGGUUUUGGGUUCUAACCAACAUUAUGAUUUGUGCUAAAUCUUCUAGUAGGAGCAAACCAACCACCUUUGAAAUUAAAACAACCUCCAUGAUGCCUUCCCUCACCUUGUUGACUUAUGAAGGCUUGUUCAUGGUUCAUGUGGUUCUUUUUCUCUUCAAUUUCAUUCAAGGGCAUUUAUUCAUGCCCUUCUUGAAUUUAUUCAUGCCCUUGAUAUGCUAGGACAAGCUAGUAGUAAGAUGGACAUGGUGGUUUUGAAAGCAUGGCAACCUAAAAACAUCUAUAUUUCAGUCCAAGCCUUCAAGCAAGUUGGAACAUUUUGCCCACAUCCUCCACUGGCUUCUUGAUUGCUGCCAAAUUGUCGCAUAUAUAUGCCUUUGAACUUUUUGAGAUACUCAUCUAUGGACAUAGAGCCCUUUAUUAGUGUUAGAAGGCUAUCAGUCAAAUGCACUUUCUUAUCUUUUGUCAUAGGAAGUAAUUUUUCUUCUAGAGAACUCCAAAUUUGAUAUGAUGUCUCCACUCUGGUGAUCAUUCCCAAAACCUCUUUUGCCAUAAGGCCAAGCAUCCAAGAGGUUAGGAGCUCAUUGUUAAUCUGCAUACGAUGUUAGGGAUUUGUGCUUAUCCUCCUAUUUGCACUUCCAAUUUCUUCUAAUGGAUUAUUACCUUCAAUAAGAUGAUGUAAUAUUCGAGGCUAUGAAUGAAAGGGGAGACUUAGGCUCUAUUUGGUAACUAUUUUUUGGACCAAUUUUCUAUUUUCUAGAACAAAAGAACAGGAAAACACAUUUGACAACAAAAAAACAAAAAAGUAUUAUUCACUAUUCUUAAAAACAGGAAACAGGUUAUCUUCAAAGAACCUCUUUUAAUUAUUUUCAAUUGUUUUCACUUGUUUUCCAAGGGUUGCUUUAAAAAAUAAUUAUACAAAUAUGAAAAAUGAUUAAAAAUAAAGCACUAUAUAUAAAAGUUAUUUUUAAAACAUAUUUAAAACUAUGGAAAACAAGUUAAGAACAUUUUAGGUUUUCUAAUAGACUUUUGUUCCACAAAACAUCAAACAAUAGUUUUUAAAAACUAUUUUUCAGAAUUGUUUUAUAAAACACUUCUCAAAUAGAACCUUAGGAUCUCCAUAAAAGAAAAUUUAAGGUGUUGAGCUUGAUUGAAACAAGACUUGCACAUUAGUGAAAGGAUCAUAUGCUAAGGAUUGAUUCUUAAGUGGCCUUGAAAAUUAGUUGCACAUAGAGGUAUGGAAAAAAAGGGAGAAAUAAGUCACUAAUCCAUUGUUUUAGGUAAUCACCGCAUGAAUCAAUGCAUGUAAGAGCUUUAUUUUGAGUUAUUUAUGGAGCUAUUCUUAUGCGAGAAAAUUCCUUAGAUAGCACUCUACAUUUUUUUAUUAUUAUUAUUAUUAUUAUUAUUUUAUAUAGGUUCCUUAGAUAACACUCUAGAUUGUAUCAAAUUUUGUUGCAAGGACUUGGUAGUUGACCUUUUUAUUAUUAUUAUUAGAAGUAAACCGAGACACAACAAUUUCAUUGCAUUGAAAGAUUAAGUGCAAAGAAGGAUGAAAAAUUCUUUCAAGAAGUACACAAUCCUCUGUAUGGGUGUGUAUACUAGUUCAAAAGUUCAAAUCUAACUAUAAUUCACAAAGUAUAAAAUAUCCUAGAAGAGAAAUCAUAUGUUUAAGCGAGGUGCCUAAGAGAAGGAACAUCCUAAGUCUAAGAAAAUGUCAAUAAUUGAUGCAACCACCCAUCAAACUUCCAUGGUCCUCUUCUUUCUUAGUUGAUUAUAAUAUAACAAUAGAAGAAUCAUGUUCUACUAGAAAAUUGGAGAAACCUAAAGCUUUGGCCUAUACCAACCAUCCAAAAGGGCUAGAAUUUCUACCUUAAUGGCCAAAUCCCAACCUACAAGUUUAGAGAAUGCUCUUAACACUAUCACAAUGAUCUUUAAUCAACCUUACAAUCCAUAAUGGUCCUAGGUUGCCUAAAGCACAUCCAUCAAACUUUGUCACAAAACCCUCUAGAAGUGAUUUCUAUUCACUAGGUAUCUCUUUAGUAAUUUUUGUGGUUCUCCAAACUAGAUUCUAAUCUAGUAGAGUGAGGCUCAAAGGAAUACCUGCAAAAGCUUCAUUGGUUGAAGCUCAUGGUGAAGAAGAGAGAUAAAAAAAUUUCUGAACUGCUUUUAGAGUCCUCCCCUUAUUCUAAAAAAUCUUUAUGUUCCUUUACGACUAAAUUGUCCAUAUGAAAGUGAGGUUGACUAUGCGCAAAAGGGUCCUACCUUGAGGAAGUCCCCCAAAACCUCUAAAUGACAUAAUCAAUAUCUUCUCCACAUUUCUGGUCGGAACCUAGUAAGUUGAACAAUUUACACCAUAAUGUUAUCUCUGCAAGGUAAUUUUAAAAGAUGUGGUCUAUAGAUUCCUCACUUCCCCUAUGCAUAACACAAUAUUUUGAGGUAAGCGCAUUGUAUGGUCAUCUCCUUUAAAGCAAGUCACUAGUAUUGACCUUCUUAUACGCCAUAAGUGAUGCAAAGGCCUUCACUUUUGGUGAAGUUUUUGGAUUUCCAAAUGAAAUUUGUAGGACAAAAAGGAACGGAAUUGGUUGAAGUACUAACUAAGAACAAUCUUGAUGAUAUCAAGGACCAAACUCUGAUGUAGGGAAAAGUGGAAGACAAAGAGACAUGAGCUAAAGCAAGCAUUAGAUGAGCUAGAAAAGUUGCCAUCUAACUUUUGUGUAACCCUCUCCACAACUGGGUCCCAAAAAGAUAUUGCUCUAGGAUUCCCUCUUGAAGGAAAACCUAAGAGAGGGGCCAAUCUGACAUCUCGUAGUUUAAAAAAGUAGUCAAAUUAAAGACUUGAGGCUAACUAAUAUUGAUACCCGAUAAAGUACUCUUAUCCAAAUUUACCUUGAGCUCAUAAAUGUUUCCAAAAACCAACAAGAUUAAUUAAUUGUCACUAGAUUAUAAAUGUGUCAUCCUUGUCCUAUUUCUACCUACCAAAAAGCCCUAUAAGAUUCCCCUAUUGUUUGCUUUCAACAUGAAUCUACUUGACACAUUUGCAACAAUGGUAAACAGAAGCCCUAAAAGUUGAUAAGGUUUUAAUAGACAAUUUCGAUCAUUACUUAGCAUCAUUUAACCCUUUUUGAAAAAAAAAAAAUCAAAAUCAAAAUCAAAAUUUCUUCCUUUGCUUUAUGGUCCCCAUAUUAAAGCUUGGCUUUGGGAUGUGGUGCACCUCCACAUGAAAUUAGUCCGAGAUCCUGGUCUCUCUUUUUGUUCUUUAGAUUUAUUUGCAGUUUUACUUGUUUAAAUAUUUUUAAGACCUGUAGGAUGUAAGAUGUCUAUUGUUUCUCAUUUUCAUUUGCUCUACCUAGUGUUAUUAAUGCUGAUACUUUCUACAAUACAGUUCUAGGGACUCCAAGGUGAAGUAGGCAGGAUUACUCAUCAAUAGUUGUGCAUAUGUUGUACAUACAGGGAAUAAGGGUUUGGGUAUUGGUCCUUUCUUGGAUUAUCUAUCUGAGCUAUUCAGUACCUCUCACAAUCUAUAGAAGUUUUCUAGAAAAGACAAAAAAGAAAAAAAAUUCACAAAUCAGGAGAAUUCUUCAGUUUUAAGUCUGAUUUAAAAACACAAUGAAAGGGAAAGACAAUGAAAAUCACGCAAAACUUUUAUGCCUUUUCAGAUGCUACAUUGUGUGCAAAAGGGAAAUAAAGUUGAAGAAAACUUAUAUUAUGGCCAAACUUAUUUUUUAUUUUUUUUACCUUUUUUAUUCCCUUUUUCCCUUCAUCGUUUUCUGCAUACUUUCCCGCAGGUUUUAACGUAUCAUAGGGUUGACCUUAAUUCUGCAACACAUGGUAGUAUAUCCUUUGUAGAGCAUGCUUUUUCUUAACACCACUGUCCAGUAACAGUCUAAAUAAUUAAAAAAUUUAUAGUGCUUUUUCCAUGUCACUAAGUUGUCUAUGCUGUGUAUUCACUCAAAGCAUGGUAUGGAAUCUCUUACCAAAUGUGCCCAUGCCUUAUUGUCCUUCAUCUCUUCCUUCCAUCUCCUGUAUCUCUUCUCAGUUCUCACCAGCACCUCAUUUAUGUUCUUGGACAUGUUAUGGCUAUCUUGGUUUGCUGGUUCACUAUCUCAUCAAAUGGUCUUGUCAUUGAUGUCAGUUCAACUUCCCCUGUUUAAUCCUUCUUGGCUUUACUCCUUUAGCAAAUUAUUGUGCGUAUGGUGCUGGUCAUUUGAACUAAUUUAGCUUCUUCUUUAAUAACAUCACGGUGGGAGGAAAGGUAUGUUCGCUAACAAAAAUUGAAAAUAAUUUUUUACCCUUGAAAACAGAAAAUAGGAGUUUUGUUUGAAAAUAUUUUUAAAAAUAUAUUUUGAGAAUAGUUUUGAAACAUAGUUUUUUGAUAUUUUUUUGGAACAAAAUCUUGUUUAGGAACUUGGAAUGUCCUUAACUGUUUUCAUAUUUUGUGUUUCUAAAUAUUUCUUAGAAGUGUCUGAAAGUUGAUAGAUCCAGAUUAGGAAACAUUUAGAAGGGGGUAUGUAUUUGACUCUUUUUAGAUCAAAAUUUGUUAUCUUUAACUUUCUCAUUUGAUGUAGAGAUGAGGAAAAUAGAAUCAAUGUACGAGACACAAAUUUCUACAUGAAAAGCCACCCCUAUUCUCCCAAAGACCAUGUGGAUGUAAAAUUCAUGGAGUUAAAUACAUUUGAUCACAAAAUCACUAUUGAAAAAACAAUAUAUGGUUUUACCCGACAAAUGUUAUCCUUAAGUCUUACUCUUUAAUACCUAUAUUGAACUCCACGUCCGCGAUGUUGCACCAUGCAUGCUCCUAGUGGAUUCUACCUCAACGCUAUAAGGAUGUAGAUCUCAUUUUCAAUCCAAAGAAUGUAAAUAUUAAAUUCUUGAGAGAUUUAGGAUGUGGGAAAGGCUAAUAUAGUUUUUCCAAUGUUUUCAUAAAAAAUUAAGAACUAUUUUUGGUAUGAUAUUUAUAAGAUAAAAAUACUUAGUGGAUUGAAUCUCAAAAUUUCAAAAUAAAAUCGAUUAAAAUUUGGAAAAGUAGAAUUAUGGAGAUUUGAAUUUCUACCACGAUUGUUUGAGUGCCUUUAGGAGCACUUUAGCGUUAUAAGAGUUUUUUUAAAACAAUUUUUAAAAUAUUUUCGUACAAUUUAAAACUUAUAGUCCAUUCCAUGAAUUUUAAUUAAUCUUUUACAAACAUUUUUAUAUUUAAUAGGGAGAAUUAUGUUUUAGGGGUAAAUGACCCCCAAAUUAACAAAAGGUCCGUGUAACUCUUCAAAUUGAGCUCAAGACUCAAUGAAAGUAUGGAACAGUAUUUUCAAAAAUGCCAUUUGUUGAUUUUGAGAAAAAAUUAAUAUUUUUGAAAAAUACUUUUAUUUAAUUUAAUAUUUUUUAAAAAUAUUUUUUAUUUAAUUUAAUAUUUUUAAAAAAUACUUUUAUGUAAUUUAAUAUUUUUUAAAAAUACUUUUAUUUAAUUUAAUAUUUUUAAAAAUUAUUUAAUUUAAUAUUUUUUUUAAAUAGUUUUAUUUAAUUUAAUAUUUUUGAAAAAAAAUAUUUAAUUUAAUAUUUUUGAAAACCACUUUUAUUUAAUUUAGUAUUUUUGAAAAAAAAAUUAUUUAACUUAAUUAUAUAAAAUAUUUUAUAUGUGUUCUUAAAGGGUAUAUUUGUCCGUUACUAUUUCAUAUCCUUCAACUUAAUUCGAAGAGUUAUAUGAACCUUUUGUUAAUUUGGGGGUCCAUCUACCCCUAAAACAUAAUUCUCCCUAAUUAAUAGUAUCAUUCCAAUUAAUUAUGCAAUAACUUUGAAUCUUUAGUGGAAAGUAAAACACUAAAUCUAGAAAAGUCCUAAGCCAAAGUAAAUGCAACAUAAACUUAAAUAGCAUAGUUUAAUGUACCAAAUAAUUUUUAAAUGUAGAGUUUUAUUUUUAAUCUGUUUUUAUAUUUAUAUAAUUAUUUUAAAUUAUUCUUCAUCUUAGUAUUUAAAAUCAAUGAAAACAAAUAAAUUAUGUUAUCAAAAAACACCAUAUUUUUCAAACAAGUUAGAAAACUACUUUCUACCAAAAAUUACUAAAUGUGUUUUCAAGUAUGAAAAACAAUUCUAAAAUAAGCUUCUUUCGGAUCUAAAAAACACAUUUGAAAGGCUUUUGAUAAAAACAGUUUUUUCAUGAUUUAUUCUAAAAAUAAAACUUGCAUUUUAAAAUAAAUUUCAAAAGUGUUUUUAUUUGGAUUUUGUAGAGUUUUUUGAGCAAUAAUUGAAAGGAGAAGAAUAUUUUGAAAGUUUUUGCAUAUAUAUUAUAUUUAAAUGUAUAACAACUUCAUGGAGAAUAAUUAAAAAAAAAAAAACUGUUUUUUAUAUUUAAAUUUUCAAAUGGAAUUUUGUUGUUGAAAAUAAAUAAGAAUUAUUUUUGAAAGAUUUGUCAAAGAGUUGAUAAUCGGAAAUUGCUUAUUACAGCUGCAAUGGUAGGUUUUGUUCUGUAGGUACCUGUAGGAUUUGCAUUGGUGUUUUUUUAGGUCUGUUCAAUUCUCAAGCAGGCUCUAAUCAAUUCUUGGUUGAACUCGAUUUAUUGUUCUGGUAGGUAAGCUUGGUUCAAUCUGAGUUCCAUAGGGAGGAUGGUUUAUUUUGUUGAACGAUGGAGCAAUUUUCUUGCCCAAUUUUGCCUCCCAAUUAAUGGUGGCGUACCAAAACUCCAACAAUGGUCGCUUGGUUCAGAUUAAAAGGUUCACUUUGGUUUCCCAAUCAGAACAUGACCUGUCCUUCUUAAGGGCAGCAUCACUAGUGAAACAUGAUGUCUGGCUUGAUAGCAACUGCAAUUAAUAGGUCCCAUCAAUGAUUAAAUGCUUAACUCACUCUGAGUUGUAUUUACUUUUUUUCAAACAAAUGGAUGCUCGGAGAACUCUGAACCAAACCUUCGACUGUGGAUUUACUACUUUAACUAAAAUUUUCUGGCAUCAAUUGAUGGAUGAAGCAACAUGUUUGGUGAGAUCAGCGGAGCCGAAUGCCAUCCAUUGUGGUUGAUCCCUGUUUGGUAAUUAUCCUAUAAAGCAAUGUCAAUUGUCAAAGACUUCCAUGAAAAAACAAUUUUUUUCAAAACUUAUUCUAAAAGUAAGUUGUUUUUUUACAAUAAAUUUUAUUUUUUAUAAUAGAAAGGAUGAAGGGUAUUUUAAAAACUUUUUUAUUAUAAAUAAGAAUAAAAUAAUUUCUAAAAAAUAAGUUAAGAAAAUUGUUUUUAAUAUUUGAGUGCUAAAUAAAAUUCUGAUAUUAGUAUAAUGUGUCUUUCUGACACUGCUACUUCUAAAAUGUUUGCUUGGCUCAGGUUGUUUUCCAUUCAAGGACGGUCCUAUAAUCUAAACCUGGCGACCCUCUUGGCUCUAACUUUAGGAGUCGUUCCACUGCAUUUAUGGGGCCUGAGACUGAGAGCCGUGUCUGUUGCUUGCCUUCUCACUUUCUUAAUUACUAAGACUUGCCUCCCAUGAUGCAUGGGUCGUUUUCUCUACCCUCCUUCAGAAAACACGAAGAAAAAGUAAUAUAUAUAUGGGAGGAACAAUACCAGAAGCUCCACAAUAAAAAAACAGGGGUUGGC